GCGACUCGCGCGCCAUCUGCGAGCGCGCCGAUAAAAACUGCCGGCGGGCCCGCGCGCCACCGCACUUCUAGUCCGGACCUCAGGCUUCCCGCAGUGCAGCCCGAUCCAAACUUCUCUUCUCGCUGACGACAUGGCGGACCUGAGCGCCAGGGAUAUUGAACGGGCGAACUUCGCCUUCUCCGUCUACGACUUCGACGGAAGCGGCACCGUCGACGCCAUCUACCUGGGCGACCUCCUGCGCGCCCUCAACCUCAACCCCACCCUGGCCAUCGUCGAGAAGAUGGGCGGCACCAAGAAGAAGAACGAGAAGAAGCUGAAGAUCGAAGACUUCUUGCCCAUCUACUCGCAGGUGAAGAAGGAGAAGGAGGUGGGAUCGUACGAGGACUUCCUGGAGUGUCUCAAGCUGUACGACAAGGCGGAGGACGGCAAGAUGCUGUCGGCCGAGCUGUCCCACACACUGCUGUCGCUCGGUGAGAGACUGACAGAUGAAGAGUGUGAGUCCAUCCUGAAGGAGUGCCUGGACCCUGAGGAUGAGGACGGUUUUGUUCCCUAUGCUCCAUUCAUCAAACGGCUGAUGUCAUAGAUGGUCACCUUAGAAGUCCAAAGACUCAUUGCAUUAAGUGUAACAAAAUUUAAUGUCCAUCCUUUCCUGAAGCGCCUCAUCGCAGGACCACCAGAGGAGAAGCCGGCCGAGGCCAAGUAGAUCACAGGCGGCGCACACGUAGCGGGCCCGGCGAGCUCCAUGCGACACCCUCCAGCACCCACUGCACCAGCGAUGGCUACAGAAACGGCGGUGCUCGCCCGACUCGGCCGGGUGUCCUCUGCGCCGGGAGUGCCGACCGGCCCGGGCGGAGGCGACGGGACAGCAAAUCCGGAGGAAACUGCCAAAGAAGUGUGGACUAGAAGUCGACAAAAGUGACCGUCGUACAACAGAUAAACUGUCGAGUCAAAUAAACUGGUGUGGUCCUGCUCUUUUUUUUUUUUUUGUACAUCACUGCCUUCAAAAUUAUUGCUCUUUUGCCGGAAAACAAACUGUAAUCUGGAACACAGGAUAAGGAAAAUUGCAAUAAAGUAUGAAAUAACAGCUGUCUCUUGUA